GCCUAGAGAAUUAGAAACACCCGGUCCUGCGUUUGCAGCAGACGGGAAAACGGCUGCGGGCGACAGGUGGUAAGAGGCCCGGGUUCUCGCCGCCAUGUUUAUUGGGGGCAAUAUUCCGUGAACGCCCGCGUUGCCGCCAUCUUUAUUGGGAGCAAGAUGCUGCAGGGCGCGUGCGCAGUCUUUGACUACGCUCACAGAUUAAGCUCAAACCAAGAGGAAUGUGAGUCUCUGCUGCAAUUUUAUUCCAGAAUGAACGUCUGAAGGAUUUUUCUGUGGUAAACCCCUUUUCUAGGAAAUGGGAAGGAUUGGUCCACGAGAAACCCAAACGAAACAUGUCAUCACGACCUGACAGAGUCAUUCCAUUCAUCAGCACCUUGAAUGUCACCAGCUUUUGAAUGUGAAAGAAGAAAUGUUUAUCCUUGAAAAAGGAUUUCAGAACAUUUGAGAAGGACGUGAAGUGACAUCGCCUACUCACUGGGUAAUUCCUGAACUGUGAGAUUUUUCUCUGACUUCACUUCUUCCCAUAGAUUUCCGGCUGCCGACUCCAGUAGGGGAUUUUUCAAAGCACAAUAAUUGUUUGAAAGAACAGUUUCACAGGAGAUAUUAAGUGGGAGGAUUUGAGGUCGGAAAGGUGAAACCGAAAUCAUAUUAGGAUCUGAUGAAGUUGCCCAAUUCGUUGGAACCUUUUAAGAUCACUGGAUUUUAAACAUGGAAGGAAACA